rnacentral:rRNA from 1 species
UAGGGAAUAUUGCACAAUGGGCGAAAGCCUGAUGCAGCAACGCCGCGUGCACGAUGAAGGCCCUCGGGUCGUAAAGUGCUUUUCGGGGAGAUGAGCAAGGACAGUAUCCCCGGAAUAAGGCUCGGCUAACUACGUGCCAGCAGCCGCGGUAAAACGUAGGAGCCAAGCGUUAUCCGAAUUCACUGGGCGUAAAGCGCGUGCAGGCGGCUUGGUAAGUUGGGUGUGAAAUCUCCUGGCUCAACUAGGAGAGGACGUCCAAUACUGUCGAGCUAGAGGGCGAUAGAGGGAGGUGGAAUUCCGGGUGUAGUGGUGAAAUGCGUAGAUAUCCGGAGGAACACCAGUGGCGAAAGCGGCCUCCUGGGUCGCACCUGACGCUCAGACGCGAAAGCUAGGGGAGCGAACGGG